AUUUUCAAUAAGGUAGUUGAUACUAUUUCACGAAGGGCUUCGAGCUAAUUAUAUUAAAAUAGUAGUUUUUAAAUUGUAUGUAGCAAUAUAUAAAGAUUAUAUAUAGUUAGGGGUGAUAGGCUUGUCAAGUUGUCAUAUAUCUUGAUCUAUAGGAAAAAUAUUAAGUAUUAAGAUAAUAUAGAAAUGGUUAGGUUUCUAUAUAACAUUAAAGAAGGUUAUAAAACGUCAGUUUGUAUAAUAACUGCUGGUUCUCUCUUCUUAUAAUAUUAUAUCUAAUUUUUGUGAAUUAUACUAUAGUAUUAUACUGAUUUACUUAUUUAUUAUUUAAUGAAAAUAUUAGUAUUAUGUAAAUAUUACAUAAAGGAACUCGGCAAACCUGUUGCUCAACUGUUUAACAAAAACAUAGCUAGGUGAAUUUACAUUUAGUUUUUUCUGCUCAAUGGUUAUCUAAAUAGCCGCAGUA
rnacentral:rRNA from 1 species